rnacentral:rRNA from 1 species
CCUACGGGAGGCAGCAGUGGGGAAUAUUGGACAAUGGGUGAAAGCCUGAUCCAGCCAUGCCGCGUGUGUGAAGAAGGCCUUCGGGUUGUAAAGCACUUUCAGUGGGGAAGAAAGCCUUGGGGCUAAUACCCUCGAGGAAGGACAUCACCCACAGAAGAAGCACCGGCUAACUCCGUGCCAGCAGCCGCGGUAAUACGGAGGGUGCGAGCGUUAAUCGGAAUUACUGGGCGUAAAGCGCGCGUAGGCGGUCUGAUAAGCCGGUUGUGAAAGCCCCGGGCUCAACCUGGGAACGGCAUCCGGAACUGUCAGGCUAGAGUGCAGGAGAGGAAGGUAGAAUUCCCGGUGUAGCGGUGAAAUGCGUAGAGAUCGGGAGGAAUACCAGUGGCGAAGGCGGCCUUCUGGACUGACACUGACGCUGAGGUGCGAAAGCGUGGGUAGCAAACAGGAUUAGAUACCCGUGUAGUC